CUGGCUAUUUAAGAGAUCGACGGACUUGAGUUGGCUGAUUUUUGCUGUUGGUCAGCUUCUUGUUUGUUGUUUCCUCUUCGAUCUCUUCCUUCUGAUGUGGCUCCUUCAGUUCUUUACCACUUCUUAACGUGAUAGCAUUGAUUUGCCCCCUUGGAUUGGUCUCUGUAUUUGCCUAGCUAGGAAAAGAUCCUUGUGGUCUCCUAGA
rnacentral:lncRNA from 1 species